GACAGAGGGUGCAAACGUUGUUCGGAAUUACUGGGCGUAAAGCGCGUGUAGGCGGCUAUGCAAGUCGGAUGUGAAAGCCCUCGGCUCAACCGAGGAAUUGCGCCUGAUACUGGCGGGCUAGAGAUCGAUAGGGGUGAGUGGAACUCCAGGUGGAGCGGUGAAAUGCGUAGAUAUCUGGAGGAACACCGGUGGCGAAAGCGGCUCACUGGAUCGAUACUGACGCUGAGGUGCGAAAGCUAGGGUAGCAAACGGG
rnacentral:rRNA from 1 species